rnacentral:lncRNA from 1 species
CGCAAAAAUGAAUCAAGAUUCCAUAUUCGCAGAAUUGAAUCAAGAUUUAAGAGGUCAAGAUUGCAAUGUAUGAACAACAAAAUCUUGACAAGUUGCUGCCUCUAUGAUCAAUGAACUCGAUCAUGGUAAAUUUCAAUUCAUAGAAAGGGAAAAUACAAGUAACAGGGAUAUAUUUGUUAAGAUUCUUUCGUUUCUUUUAGGAUGGUAAUGAAAGAGUUUAAGAUAUUAAUAGCUGCACAAAAACUUCAUUAUUUUACUCUAUAUUUUUCAUGAAGAUUUUUGUAAUGACGGCUCAAGAUUGUGUUAGGCUCAAAAUAACAUAUUGGUUUCUGUUUUCCAUAAAAACCAUUAAAUCUAGCUACCAACUAUUUGCUUGAAUC